CUGGAUGAUGGCGAUAGCCCUCACCUGGGCUCCCAGGCUCCACCCUUGCUCCUCCAAGCAGAUCUUUCAAAAAAGAUGUAAGUUCCAGGAGAGCCAGGACCGACUCACUGGUUUUGUUCCCAGCUGAUUUCCCAGAACCCAAAACAGGACUCAGAAGGUGGGCGGCACUUGAUAGACAUCUGCUGAACUGAAGCACAGGACGCUGGUUGCAGAGAUGACCGUCGUGAAGACCUGGUUCAAGCUCGGCUGGAUUCUGUGACUUCUGUGCUGCCCAGGCCAUCAACCUACCAACCCAGCUCCACCUUCCCUGGGAGCCUUUGCAGAUGCUCUUCCCUCUGCCUAGAAAGUCCUUCCCCAAGUCACUGAGUGGCUGGCUUCUCCUCAUUCCUCCCAUCUCAGAGCCAACAGCAUUUCCCUAGACCGGGUUUCCUGCCCACACUAUCUCCGGUAGCCCCAGGCCCCUCUAUCACAUGACCCUGUUUUAGCUCCCUGCACAUUUCACAUCAUUAUCUACAUGAGCUACCAUGAAAUUCUGAUCAAUGAUGUGACAUCUAGCUCUCCAGUGUGCAGACAGCCCUGGCCAGUGCGCUUACCCGACAACCCCACAGCUACGGUCCAAUCUGUUAAGGGGUGGAAGGGAAAUUUACAAGAGGGCAGGUGUGCCUAAACAAAUCAUCCUGCAUUAUUCAUUCAUUUAGUAAUAUUUUAUUAAGGAUAUGUGUCAGGCACGGUCAGGCAUGGUGUCAGGCACGGUACAGUGCUGGGUAACAGUGAUUCAUUGUGGAAGGAAACACAGUCCCUUCACUCCCAGAGCUCAAGGACUAGUUGCAAUUAGCAUCAGAAAUUAAAGUGGAGCUGCAAGAAGAAUUCCAAAUACAUCUGUAUAUACUUCACCCUUAAGGAGGGAGCAUAACUCCCCACCCCUUCAGCGUGGGCUGCACGCACUGUGCCCUCCUUGCAAAGAGUACAAUGUGGAAAGGGGGGAAGCAGGGAAAAGUAACUUUACAGUGGAGAAACCUUGCAACACAACAUCAGGCAGGCCAUCAAGGUCGACAGUCAUAAAUCAUGUGAGUAGCAUGUACCCUGAUAUGACAUGAUGAAAAUGGCACCUUACCUCUGUGG